rnacentral:rRNA from 1 species
AACGAACGCUGGCGGCAUGCCUAACACAUGCAAGUCGAACGAGACCUUCGGGUCUAGUGGCGCACGGGUGCGUAACGCGUGGGAAUCUGCCCUUGGGUUCGGAAUAACAGUUAGAAAUGACUGCUAAUACCGGAUAAUGUCUUCGGACCAAAGAUUUAUCGCCCAGGGAUGAGCCCGCGUAGGAUUAGCUAGUUGGUGAGGUAAAGGCUCACCAAGGCGACGAUCCUUAGCUGGUCUGAGGGGAUGAUCAGCCACACUGGGACUGAGACACGGCCCAGACUCCUACGGGAGGCAGCAGUGGGGAAUAUUGGACAAUGGGCGAAAGCCUGAUCCAGCAAUGCCGCGUGAGUGAUGAAGGCCUUAGGGUUGUAAAGCUCUUUUACCCGGGAUGAUAAUGACAGUACCGGGAGAAUAAGCCCCGGCUAACUCCGUGCCAGCAGCCGCGGUAAU